UACAGAGGGGGCGAGUGUUGUUCGGAAUUACUGGGCGUAAAGGGCGCGUAGGUGGCCUGUUAAGUCGAACGUGAAAUCCCCGGGCUCAACCCGGGAACUGCGUCCGAGACUGGCAGGCUCGAAUCCGGGAGAGGGAUGUGGAAUUCCAGGUGUAGCGGUGAAAUGCGUAGAUAUCUGGAGGAGCACCGGUGGCGAAGGCGGCAUCCUGGACCGGUAUUGACGCUGAGGCGCGAAAGCCAGGGGAGCAAACGGG
rnacentral:rRNA from 1 species